CCUACGGGAGGCAGCAGUGGGGAAUUUUGGACAAUGGGCGAAAGCCUGAUCCAGCAAUGCCGCGUGAGUGAAGAAGGCCUUCGGGUUGUAAAGCUCUUUUGUCAGGGAAGAAACGGUGAGGGCUAAUAUCCCUUGCUAAUGACGGUACCUGAAGAAUAAGCACCGGCUAACUACGUGCCAGCAGCCGCGGUAAUACGUAGGGUGCAAGCGUUAAUCGGAAUUACUGGGCGUAAAGCGUGCGCAGGCGGUUUUGUAAGUCUGUCGUGAAAUCCCCGGGCUCAACCUGGGAAUUGCGAUGGAGACUGCAAGGCUAGAAUCUGGCAGAGGGGGGUAGAAUUCCACGUGUAGCAGUGAAAUGCGUAGAGAUGUGGAGGAACACCGAUGGCGAAGGCAGCCCCCUGGGUCAAGAUUGACGCUCAUGCACGAAAGCGUGGGGAGCAAACAGGAUUAGAUACCCUGGUAGUCCACGCCCUAAACGAUGUCUACUAGUUGUCGGGUUUUAAUUAACUUGGUAACGCAGCUAACGCGUGAAGUGACCGCCUGGGGGAGGAGGUCGCGAAGAGUAAACGUUACAAUAGAGUUAGUAGGCGNGNGAGNGCGACGGACGACGACGAGGGAGGAGG
rnacentral:rRNA from 1 species